CUCUUGCCUGCCGCUGUGUAACACGUGGCUUUGUUUCUCUUGCACCUUCUGCCAUGGUUGUGUGGCCUUCCCAGCCAUGUGGAACUGUGAGUCCAUUAAGCCUCUUUUUCUUUAUAAAUUACCCAGUCUCAGAUAUGUCUUUAUAGCACCAUGAGAACAAACUAAUAUAUCACGUAGCUAGAUUCUGGCCAUUGGGAGAUAAGCAGAACCGCUGUAUGAAAUUUCCAGGGAAGCCUUCUAAAUGGAGCUGACUCAACUGAAAACUGUGAAACCUACAGGUUGCAGAAGAAAAUGGCUGGUGGAAAUGCAGCAGGAAGAAUAACAUGGUUCUGAAACCAGGCUGUCCUGGUUGACGUUUCCUGCCCAUAAGGCCAUCGAAAGGUGGGCAUCUCCUCACGUGGCUGCUGCUAGUGACGGACCUAGUAUGGCCCUGGGAGUUAAAGCGGUGCUGUGGCCUCUGCAGUCCUCAGCACUCCUUCUGGCACUACAGGCAUGCUGUGUUUACAGCAGAGAUGGAGAGGUUUUCUGCCCUAUCUCCACCCUGCCCAGCCCCUAGCUCUGGGCUUUAGUUUGUUAUCUGGGUACCAGAGAGCAUAGCUUGAGCCCCUGCGUCUCACAGAGUCCCUUAUGACAACAGCCUCCUCAGACUCUGCAAACAACCUCUCUCUCCACAGGGCUCAGAUGAGAAUCCAGGGAAACCAACUUCUUAAAAAUAGAUGCCAGUAGGCUGCCUACCCUGCCAAGUCAUUGGACAUUUCCAGACAUGCCUGAUUCCCAGCAGAGAACACAAAUUAGGCUCUCGAAUCCCUGCUACAUUACUAAACGUGCAUAGCACGCCCUAAUGCUUUCCCCUGAAUCAACUCUGUUCGGUAGGUAGGACAGAUGAUAGUAUUAUAGUUUCCAUCUUUCAUACAGAGAAAUUAAUUCUUAGUGAGAAAAAGCUAGAAGCCUGAAGUGAGAUAAUAAUUAAGAUUCUGAUUGAUCACAUGAAUGGAGGGCUUUGAAUAGCAAAUCUGGCACUCUCCUGGGGUACUUCACGGUAACAGGUCACCAAGCUUGGCCCAGAUGCUCUAGACAGAGGCAUUUUCCUCUCUGUGCUCAUGGCAUGUUGGUUUGUUGCAGAGUUUGCUGUAUUUUGUGACACCACUUUAAACGUCAGUCUUCUCCACUAAACAUCUCUCAUGCCAGCAAAGUGCCUGGCAUGGAGAAGGGACCUGAUAAACAUUUAUCGGUGGUAUGAAUAUGAAUUUUUAAAAAAAAUCUCUUAAUGUUUCUCUAAUGAAGGUGGAAUCCUCCCACCCCAGAGAACAUUUGGAAGUGGAGGAGCAUUUUUCGUUGUCACAAUACCAAGGAGUGAUGCUCCAAGCCUUUUAUAACCGGGGCCAGGGAUACGGGAUAUCUUGCAAUCUGUCAGACAGUCCUGCACAAAGAAGUGCUCUGUCCAAAAUGCCAAUCGCUCCUCCUUUGAGAAUAACUACAAGGAAGUCCAAAUGUUAGGAAAGUCCCAAGCACUCCUAAGCCUUCGAGUCUAGCCUAGGAAUAACUUAGCUAUCUGUGACCUUGCUAUUUGAGUUUUGAGACAAAAUAGGGGUUAUGCUAUAUACCCACCUCAUGCUAUGGUUUAAUGAGAACAUAUGUAAGAGGCCUAACAGAGUGGUUGCAUGUGGCAGGAAGACAAGUGAUUUGAGCUCCUUUUCCCCUUACUUCAGGUAAUAGGAACAAUCAUUUGUCUAUGUAUCAGUUUGGCCUAUGGUUUAAUUCAACUGAAAGAUAUUUUGAAAGCAGGCCUAGUGUUCUACGAUCUGCCCUUGGAAAUAUAAAAAGUAGUAUGGUAGUAUAUUUCCCAAUUGUUAUGAGGAUUCGAGUUUCUAAAGAUCAGUGCCUGGCACUGAGUAGUCUCUUUAUAAAUAGUUGACUUGAUGAUAGGUGGCAGAAAUCGAAGAAAAGCAGUGCUCUUGCUUAAAUAUUAAGGUAGCAUAAAAUCAAAUCAUAUUCUCCCUCUUUAGCAAAAUUGAGUGAGAUUUCUUUAGUAAGUUCUGCUUAUCCACUAUUUCCUGCAAAUUAAACAGACUUCCCACAGAAGACAACAAUUCUUGACUUCACUCUGUUCCCACCAUUGCAGAGUAAUGCAUGCUUGGGGCAAAAACACAUAUGACUCACCUGUUUUAUAGUGUCUCUUCGUACCCUUUCAAUUCCCACUGGUGAACGAAUUUACUUUCUACCUGCUUCUUAUUAGAGAAAAUAUGUCAUAGAAACAUUACAAAAUGUUGAUAAGAAUAGAAAACCAUAAUCCUAACCCUAUUGCAACUGUUUAAAAAAUUGCCUUCCAAUGCUUUUCUAUAAGAAUGUCUUUUUGCUGGGCGCGGAGGCUCACGCCUAUAAUCCCAGCACUUUGGGAGGCCGAGGCGGGUGGAUCACGAGGUCAGGAGUUCAAGACCAGUCUGGCCAAGAUGGUGAAACCCCGUCUCUACUAAAAAUACAAAAAUUAGCCGGGCAUGGUGGUGGGCGCCUGUAAUCCCAGCUACUCGGGAGGCUGAGGCAGGAGAAUUGCUUGAACCCAGGAGACAGAGGUUGCAGUGAGCCGAGAUCGUGCCAUUGUACUCCAGCCUCUGUGACACAGCGAGACUCUGUCGCAAAAAAAAAAAAAAAGUCUAUUUAUGGAGUAGCUAUCAUAAUGCACAUACUAUUUUGAUUUCUACUAUAUCCAAUUUGUAUUAUAUAUUUUCCACGUUUCCACGUAAUUGUAAUGUUUAAUGACUGCAAAAUAUUCCAUUGCUUUAAUAUGCCAUCCCAUCUUGUUGGAUAUUGAGAUUGUUCUUACUAGGUAGGGCAGCAAUAAAUAUUUUUUUUACAAACAA